AUGCCUGCCCUUAGCAUCUCUAUUCCACUGCUCCUGCCAUUUCUGCACCAUCACUGUCCAUAUCAGGCUUUUAACCUGCUCCUGCCAUCUCUACACCAUCACUGUCCAUAUCAGGCUUUUAACCUGCCAUCUCUGCACCAUCACUGUCCAUAUCAGGCUUUUAACCUGCCAUCUCUGCACCAUCACUGUCCAUAUCAGGCUUUUAACCUGUCAUCGCUACACCAUCACUGUCCAUAUCAGGCUUUUAACCUGCCAUCUCUGCACCAUCACUGUCCAUAUCAGGCUUUUAACUUGCCAUCUCUGCACCAUCACUGUCCAUAUCAGGCUUUUAACUUGCCAUUUCUGCACCAUCACUGUCCAUAUCAGGCUUUUAACUUGCCAUUUCUGCACCAUCACUGUCCAUAUCAGGCUUUUAACUUGCCAUUUCUGCACCAUCACUGUCCAUAUCAGGCUUUUAACUUGCCAUCUCUGCACCAUCACUGUCCAUAUCAGGCUUUUAACUUGCCAUUUCUGCACCAUCACUGUCCAUAUCAGGCUUUUAACCUGCUAUCUCUGCACCAUCACUGUCCAUAUCAGGCUUUUAACCUGCCAUCUCCGCACCAUCACUGUCCAUAUCAGGCUUUUAACCUGCCAUCUCUGCACCAUCACUGUCCAUAUCAGGCUUUUAACCUGCCAUCUCUGCACCAUCACUGUCCAUAUCAGGCUUUUAACUUGCCAUUUCUGCACCAUCACUGUCCAUAUCAGGCUUUUAACUUGCCAUUUCUGCACCAUCACUGUCCAUAUCAGGCUUUUAACCUGCCAUCUCUGCACCAUCACUGUCCAUAUCAGGCUUUUAACUUGCCAUUUCUUCACCAUCACUGUCCAUAUCAGGCUUUUAACUUGCCAUUUCUGCACCAUCACUGUCCAUAUCAGGCUUUUAACCUGCCAUCUCUACACCAUCACUGUCCAUAUCAGGCUUUUAACCUGCCAUCUCUGCACCAUCACUGUCCAUAUCAGGCUUUUAACCUGCCAUCUCUGCACCAUCACUGUCCUUAUCAGGCUUUUAACCUGCCAUCUCUGCACCAUCACUGUCCAUAUCAGGCUUUUAACCUGCCAUCUCUGCACCAUCACUGUCCAUAUCAGGCUUUUAACCUUCCAUCUCUGCACCAUCACUGUCCAUAUCAGGCUUUUAACCUGCCAUUUCUGCACCAUCACUGUCCAUAUCAGGCUUUUAACCUGCUAUCUCUGCACCAUCACUGUCCAUAUCAGGCUUUUAACCUGCCAUCUCUGCACCAUCACUGUCCAUAUCAGGUUUUUAACCUGCCAUCUCUGCACCAUCACUGUCCAUAUCAGGCUUUUAACCUGCCAUCUCUGCACCAUCACUGUCCAUAUCAGGCUUUUAACCUGCCAUCUCUGCACCAUCACUGUCCAUAUCAGGCUUUUAACCUGCCAUCUCUGCACCAUCACUGUCCAUAUCAGGCUUUUAACCUGCCAUCUCUGCACCAUCACUGUCCAUAUCAGGCUUUUAACCUGCCAUCUCUGCACCAUCACUGUCCAUAUCAGGCUUUUUUCCCCUGCCUUUAUUUAUACAGGUUUUUCUCAUUGAGAAUACCUCUCUUUUCCAAGAUAGUGUCACGGUUCUUGUUUUUGCAGCAAACGCCUGUGGUUUAUCACCGACGAGCGUAUGGGUUUACUUAG
rnacentral:lncRNA from 1 species